AAUAGAUCACUUAUGUGUUAGUUUUUUGAAAUCGGCAUUGCCUUCAAAUAGAGGUGAGGACCUACAGACAAAGUGAUUGCUCGAGCUUUAUGGUCUAAAGAAGACUGGCACUUAUUAUUGUUGUGGCUAUCAUGCUUUUUUUGGCAUUUCUUGGAUUUUUAUUUUCCAAAUGAUUGGGAUGCAACCUCUGGUAUACUUGUAAGUGAUUUAAACAUUAAGCCCUUUUCAUGCUCAAUUAUUAAUAACGGUCAUUGAAAAUUUCGGAAUCAGUUCUCUUUUACUUGAUUAGCUUCUAUCCUUAUUUGGGGGCCUAAAAGAUGUGUAUACUGUGUGCAAUGAAGAC